CCCGAGUGCAGGGGGGGGGCGUGGGGAGGCGACCGCGCCGCGGCAGGGGCGCGCACGGGCUCCGUCCCGGGAAAAGCACCACGCCGUGGUUUUCCAACUCAGCCGGGACCACGCUCACUGAGCCGAUAUCUCCUGAGCCCUGGUGACGUCCUGGAGGCUCUGGCGUAGGCACUGAGAGUGCGGUCCCUCACCUUUCAAGGAGACAGUGGUCUACAGAGGAGGAAGGCGGAAGUCCAGGGCUUCAGUUGGUGCUGUGAUGCCGUCAUACCGCCCACACCCAAAGUGGGUCUUCCCACCUCCACUAAAUCUUUCCGGAAACACCCUGGCAGACACACCUGGAAGCCUGUCUCCCAGGUGAUCCUCUAACUCCCAUCGAGCCGGCACUCAAGACUGUCAACCGCACGGCCUGAAGGAAAACUCACAUAAGUGACGUGAGGACGUGUGGGCAGUGAGGCAGUUGGAGGCCUAAGUGGCUAAGGCUUUGGAAAUCGAGGCCUCGAGAAGUCAUGAAGGAUGGAGCAGCAUGGGAAGAUCCUGGAGAGUCAAAUGUCUACUGUGGUUUUUUGGCAAAGGAGAUGGGGAUCAGGCCCAGGACUUCAGGCUAGUGCCCUGCCACUGGAUAAUAUCCCAAGCUGAUGCCUACUUUUCAUUCUACUUAUUCACUUACUUUAGGUUUUUUUUUUUUCAUAUAUAUUGGGUUUUUUUGAGUAGGGACUCACUAUGUAGCCCAGGCUGGCCUUGAGCUCUUGAUCCUCCUGCCUCAGCCUUCUGAGUGCUGGAUUACAGACAUACUCAACAACGCUUGAAAUAACUUGCUUUUUUUGUUCCUUUAAUGAACUCUAAGUUAAUUUUUAAAGUUAGCAUACAAAGUGACUGGUUUCGUUCUGACAUUUAUACACACUGUCAUGGCACUCUGUUCAUCCCCUCCCCCACUGCCCUUGCCCAACCCCCCUCCUCUACCUUCCUUCUCACAAACAGCCCUUCUUUCUGCUUCACGUCACAUGAAUUCCCCCACCCUCUUCCUCCCCACCCCCCACUCCCUCCAUGAAGAUCCUCCUUUGGGGACAUCAAGAUGGCUCAGGGGAUGGAGACACUUGGUGCCAAGCCUCCUUCUGAUCCCUGGGACCCACAUGGUGGAAGGAGAGAACCAACUCUUGCAAGGUAUCCUCUGACCUCCACAUAUAUGCACACACAUACACACAGAGUGGGCACAUCUGCACAUAUACACAGCUCCAUACACACACACACACACACACACACACACACACACACACACACACACGCACACAGGCACACACGCACUCACUCACAUGUGAUCUCUUUCUCAUCUCUCAGUCGCCUUCUGCUUACACAGCUUACACACCCCGAACCCACUUUAGUUAUUAUUUCAUUUUGUAUUUUGUUUUAUUAUUAUUGUGUGUGUGUUAAUGAUGUGCAGUGUGUGCGUGUGGGCACAGGUUGCCGUGUGCACCUGUGGAGAUCAGAGGGCAACUUGCAGGAGUCCGCCCUCUCCUUCUGCCGGGUGGGAUCCAGGGAUGAAGCUCACACUGUCUGAGAUGCCAGUAAGUGCCCUAAAUCCACCGAGUCAUCCUCCUAGACUAACCCCAAUUUAAAAAUUUACUAUUUUUAUUAUUUUUAGGAUAACUUUUAUUUCGUCAAAGACUAUUUCAUACAAGUAUCUUGUUUUUUGUUUUUGUUUUUGUUUUUUGAGACAGGGUUUCUCUGUGUAGCCCUGGCUGUCCUGGAUCUCUCUCUGUACACCAGGCUGGCCUCAAACUCACAGAGAUCCACCUGCCUCUGCCUCCUGAGUGCUGGGAUUAAAGGCGUGUGCCACCACCGCCCGGCUCAUACAAGUAUCUUGAUCACAUCUACCCCAGCUCCUGUCUUCCCUCUGUCUUACACACCCCCAAUACACACCCAUUCUACUUUCA